GACAAGGCUCCGUGUUGAGGGUCAAGCAGUGGUCUGUUUAAUGAGGGCUACCUGCCCAGUAUUUAUGCAGGUCUCCCACCUGGUGGACACUCCCCUAAGGGACCAAACGGGAGACCGUGACAAAAGACAGACAAGUAGACAAAUAGGACACACAGUCACAUUAUAUUCCCACAAUGCAUCCUGGCUUCCUCCCCUCUGCCUUGG